rnacentral:rRNA from 1 species
CAAGUCGAGCGCCCCGCAAGGGGAGCGGCGAACGGGUGAGUAACGCGUGAACAAUCUGCCUUGAAGUGGGGGAUAACCAUUCCAACGGAUGGCUAAUACCGCAUAGGAUUUGGGGGCGGUAUCGCCUCCCCAUGAAAGCAUUUAUGCGCUUCAAGAUGAGUUCGCGUCCCAUUAGCUAGUUGGCGGGGUAACGGCCCACCAAGGCGACGAUGGGUAGCCGGCCUGAGAGGGUGUCCGGCCACAUUGGGACUGAGAUACGGCCCAGACUCCUACGGGAGGCAGCAGUAGGGAAUUUUGCGCAAUGGGGGAAACCCUGACGCAGCAACGCCAUGUGUGGGAUGACGCAUUUCGGUGUGUAAACCACUGUCGGCAGGGAAUAAAGCCCGCAUUUAUGCGGGGGUGAAUGUACCUGCAGAGGAAGCCCCGGCUAACUUCGUGCCAGCAGCCGCGGUAAUACGAGGGGGGCAAGUGUUGUUCGGAAUCACUGGGCGUAAAGGGAGCGUAGGCGGAUGUUUAAGUUGGAUGUUUAAAACCGGGGCCUAACCUCGGAGCGGCAUCCAAAACUGGGCAUCUUGAAUAGGUCAAAGGCUGGUGGAAUUGGAGGUGUAGCGGUGGAAUGCGUAAAGAUCUCCAAGAACACCUAUGGCGAAGGCAGCCAGCUGGGACCAUAUUGACGCUGAGGCUCGAAAGCAUGGGGAAGCAAACAGGAUUAGAUACCCUGGUAGUCCAUGCCGUAAACGAUGAACACUAG